CACAGCUUUUCACCACCAGGGAAUAAAAAGAACAGAUUUUGGAACUGAUGGAAGCUUUGGGCUUUUUCAUUCAGAAAGUUCAAAGCCAGGGGAUUGAGAAACAGAGCUGAGAAGAGAUAUAGGACCGUGUGGAUCUAGUACUUUCUCUUAAGCUGUGGUGAGAACAGACCAAGGAACAUGAUGUGAAAACACCAAGGUUUCCCCUCAGGAAGAGAAGCCAAUGGGAAAUGUGGAGGAGCUGUUCCCUGAGCCAGUGUGAAGAGAAGCUGUGUGUUGUAAGGGGUGGGUGGCGGUGACCAUAGAGGCUCAUAUUAUGGGUUGCACUCUGUCCCCCUAAAUUCAUAUAUCGAAGUCUUCAUCCUCAGUUCAUCUAGGGUCUGUACAGAGGUAACUGAGCUAAAAUCAGGUCAUUAUUCUAUAUGGGCCCUAAUCCAAUGUGACUAGUGUCCUUAUGAAAAGGAAAUUUGGGCACAGAUGCAUACAGAGGAAAGAUGAUGUGGGAACACAAGAAGAAGGCAACCAUCUAUAAGCCAAGGAGAGAGACCUGCAAACCCGCAAUAGAUCAUUCCUCCAUGGCCUUUAGAGAAAACCGACCCUGCUGGCACCUUGAUCUUGAACUUCUAGCCUCCAGAA